ACAGUUGUAGCUCAGUGGUUAACAUGUUGGACUAUUGAUCAAAAGGUUGUGAGUUCAAAUCCCCACACCACCAGGC